rnacentral:ncRNA from 1 species
GUAAUGGCGAUGAUCGAGAAAAGUAGUCCGGAUGGAACCAUACAGAGAGGAGAUGCCGAGGCUGUAAGCAUCUCUAUGGUAAAAGCGGAUGAAGUUCUCUCCUGAGCUGGUGAGCUGAAGGUUAGUAGGUUCUCCCGGAAACUUCCACCGUUACAAGGAAGGGGAUAUCGGAUUAUCUAUUUAUGUAUAAUCCUGCAUCCUAGAUUGAGGAGGUUCCGGCUUUUGUUGCCGGAGCAAACCAGGGUGGUACCGCGGAAAGCUAACGCCUUUCGUCCCUAUG